AAAACAGCUUAUAAGCUAUUUUUAAAAACUUAUAAGCCAAUCCAAAUGGGCUCUGUAUAUAGAAAUAUGAAGAGGAGGACGACCAAGGGUAGAGCAGUCACUUAGCUUAAUUAGUGCAGGAGUAGAAUAAUAAUUACACAUAACUGAUUUUAGCAAAUCCGUACUUCCUUUCCUUCUAGACCGUUCCCUUUGGGCCUCUCUUUCCUCGAGAUCACUUCUAUAUUAACAAUUGCUAAGGCCUAAGAGGCAAAGGAAUGGGCAAAGUACUCAACCAUCUUCCUCAAACCUUUUCCUCUCCCUUAUGCUCAAACUGGACACCAGUCAUCGUCAACGGGCCAUCAUUGUGCGGCGUCGACAGGGUUCCGUAGCUGAAAAUCUACAGGCGAAGGUUGUCCUAGGGUUUCUUCAAGUUGUGAAGCUUAAGAGGUUGGAGUUGAAGUUGAUCUUUGGAAUCUUAGACCCCUUAAGACUUGCAAGUUCAAGGAGUUGAAGUUGAUCUUUGGAAUCUUAGACCCCUUAAGACUUGCAAGUUCAAGAGAUAGAAGUUGGACGAUUGGAUAUACUUCAAGGUUCAGGUAGACCGACAGGUGGUCCAGCUUACUAGUUCAUACAAGUACAUGCAGAUAGUUAUUUCAGCUUAUGACUUCCGAUCUUAUUCAUGAUUCUUGUCUAUAUAUGUUGUUCUUAUGCCUUACAUACUCAGUACAUUAUCCCGUACUGACUCCCCAUUGCUCGGGGGGAUGCGUUCAUGCGUUCAGGUAGACCGACAGGUGGUCCAGCUUAGUAGGACUUCUAUCCAGCAGUGGUCAGUGCGCUCCAUUGAUCCGGAGCUGCAGUCAGUUUUGGUAUGCCUCUUUUGAGAUGUAUAUGCAUAUGGGUAUGACGGGGCCAUGUCCCGUCCUUCUACGACUUUUAUUCCAGUAGAGGUCUGUAGACAGUUGUUUGUAUUAGUCAGAUAACGUAGCCUUGUCGGCUUCUAUUCUUUUGUGUACAGUAUAUGUAGCAGUCUAGCUGGCUUGCACUGUUUUUUCAGCAUGUUUAUGUAUAUACAGAGUGUUCAAUGUUCAUGAUGUCGCUUAUUUAUGAGAUCAGUUUAAGUCAUGCAUGGGCCCUUGAUGUUCAGUAAGAUUCAGAUAUAAGUAUAGGGGUGUUUGGUCGCUAGAGGUCAGACACUCGUCACUACUCAUCGGUUUGGACUAUGACAAUUUUUAUGAAAAUCAAAUAUGUUUUAAUUGAGUUAUUGCUUCUCUUUUUUUCGUCUAGUUGUCAAAUUUAUCCUACCCACCCAUGUUGUUUUUAUGCAAUUUUCUCCUUAUUAUAUUGAAAAUUCUUUGGUACAAAUCAAUGAGAACAGGCAUCUAUAAAUUGUCUUCUUAAACAUUUACUUUCGAAGGUUUUGAUUUUUGUUCAUUGUAUGAUGUUCAAAGCCUUCGGUAGCAUUUAAGGUUUUGCUAUGUGAGUUCGGACAUGCUAUAUA